rnacentral:rRNA from 1 species
AGUUAGUGGCGGACGGGUGAGUAACACGUGGGAACGUGCCUUUUGGUUCGGAAUAACUCAGGGAAACUUGUGCUAAUACCGAAUGUGCCCUUCGGGGGAAAGAUUUAUCGCCAUUAGAGCGGCCCGCGUCUGAUUAGCUAGUUGGUGAGGUAAAGGCUCACCAAGGCGACGAUCAGUAGCUGGUCUGAGAGGAUGAUCAGCCACAUUGGGACUGAGACACGGCCCAAACUCCUACGGGAGGCAGCAGUGGGGAAUCUUGCGCAAUGGGCGAAAGCCUGACGCAGCCAUGCCGCGUGAAUGAUGAAGGUCUUAGGAUUGUAAAAUUCUUUCACCGGGGACGAUAAUGACGGUACCCGGAGAAGAAGCCCCGGCUAACUUCGUGCCAGCAGCCGCGGUAAUACGAAGGGGGCUAGCGUUGCUCGGAAUUACUGGGCGUAAAGGGAGCGUAGGCGGACAUUUAAGUCAGGGGUGAAAUCCCGGGGCUCAACCUCGGAAUUGCCUUUGAUACUGGGUGUCUUGAGUAUGAGAGAGGUGUGUGGAACUCCGAGUGUAGAGGUGAAAUUCGUAGAUAUUCGGAAGAACACCAGUGGCGAAGGCGACACACUGGCUCAUUACUGACGCUGAGGCUCGAAAGCGUGGGGAGCAAACAGGAUUAGAUACCCUGGUAGUCCACGCCGUAAACGAUGAUUGCUAGUUGUCGGGAUGCAUGCAUUUCG